GUUGAUGUAGCUUACCUACCAAAGCACAGCACUGAAGAUGCUGAGACGAAUUAUAAACUAUUCCAACAACA
rnacentral:tRNA from 1 species